rnacentral:rRNA from 1 species
GCGGCCUAUCAGCUUGUUGGUGAGGUAAUGGCUCACCAAGGCGACGACGGGUAGCCGGCCUGAGAGGGUGACCGGCCACACUGGGACUGAGACACGGCCCAGACUCCUACGGGAGGCAGCAGUGGGGAAUAUUGCACAAUGGGCGAAAGCCUGAUGCAGCAACGCCGCGUGAGGGACGAAGGCCUUCGGGUUGUAAACCUCUUUUAGUAGGGAAGAAGCGAAAGUGACGGUACCUGCAGAAAAAGCACCGGCUAACUACGUGCCAGCAGCCGCGGUAAUACGUAGGGUGCAAGCGUUGUCCGGAAUUAUUGGGCGUAAAGAGCUCGUAGGCGGUUUGUCGCGUCUGCUGUGAAAUCCCGAGGCUCAACCUCGGGCCUGCAGUGGGUACGGGCAGACUAGGGUGCGGUAGGGGAGACUGGAAUUCCU